GUAAAUCAGCUGGUUGGCUGUGCCCGAAUAAGACACUGAAAUAGUAGCUUCACUCAUUAUAUAACAUCUUCCAGCCUUCUCUUUAUAAUUCAAUACCUAGCCACAACAAGAGAUAAAUCUUUAAUGGCACUACACAAUUUGGGUAGGGUAAAUCAUUUACUCAGAUGGAAUUUAUUUCAUCAGAAGUCUGUUAUGCCUGGAGUUUGAGGACAGCUUUUCCUAUUGAGUUUUUAAUGCCGACGGUCCUGUUAUUCAUUGACAUAGUGUUCCAGUAACACACACAUGGAGCAAAAUCCUACUGUAGUAGUGCUCAGACUUCUGAUCAACUCUCUCCAAGGUUGGAUUUGUCAUAAAAGAAGCUUUAACAAGAGUCCACAGGAAUGCACUGUGAUGUCCUCAUGUCCUGUGAAGAGCAGCCAUGACAACACCCCAGAGGUACACGAGUACUAAGAAGAUGAGCUAAUCAGUGUUAUCCUGCAUAAAAAAAGUCUGCUUGUCCAGCCUUCAUAACUCUGCUGAGUAAACCAUAUUUUUUGUUUAAUUUGUGUGCUAUUUCAGUCUCAUCAUGUCCAUGCAGCUUCAUGCAUGUCUUGCUCUUAGUUUUGUUUUUUAUUCCGAUUUGGAUCACUUCUUUCCUACCGCUAUGUGAACACCCACCUCUCAGGCUUGUUCCACACCCUCCUCGCCCAUUACAUGCAUAGACAUUUCAACAGCAGCUAGGGAUUUGGUGGAUUAAUGUAUUUACUUAAACAUCCAGUUGCAGACAGUUUAACAUUCCUAGGGAAGUGUUCUCAUAAUAUAGUUUUCCUAAGAUGGCCUGAAAAUGGGAUCAAAAUCAAGACACUUCAAGUAGCAAGUUAUCCUUUAAAAUCAGGAAUGGUUUUUAAAUCUCAGUUGAUACAUUCUCCUUCCUAAAAGUCACUUUCAUGAAAGUUACCCUCAUUUUUAUGACCUUUUUGCCCUCUUAAAUUUGAAAGUUGUAAAGAAAUAGGAUUUUCCCUUAUUAUUUCAAUGGAUACUCACCACUCAGGCUUUAGACAAAGCAAGUUGUUCUAAAUAACGAGACUUAAUGAGAUGACUGUCUGUAUUUAUGAUUUGACAGUCAGUUAUUUAAGCAUUGUCAGAACAGAAGGUGGUUAAUAGUGGGGAAAAGAAAAAACAAACAAAAAAAAGAACUCCAUAGUUAAAACUGAAAGGCUCUUUAGGUUGCAACCUGGAAGCCUGCCCAGAUUGCUAACCAUUGACAAUGCUGCCUAAUUGCUACGGAGCCCUCAAAUGUGAAGCUUCUUGAUAUCUCAUGCAGAAACAUGUUUGUCUCCCCUGAAGUUCAAUGGUAAUAUUAGUGUAUUAACUGACAAAAGCUGACCACCUGUACUUUCAGUUCUGAUCUUUGCAGACAAGUAGGGGGCUGCCAAGGUGGGGGGCAGCACACAGGGUGCCAGGGAUGCGGGGCCCCUGACCACAGUGGGCUCUCCAGUGUACUCUGCUCCUGCAUGCCACAGCCUGAAGUCCAAUCUUACCCCAACUCUGAGGUCCUCCUCAAGCAUCUAGUAAGGUAAACAGACCACAGUCAUCUCCCAAAGAGGUGAUUUGUGUUGUGGUUUUGUUUUCUGACUGUUCUGAAAGGAUAUUUGCAAUGGUGUCUAUUACAGGUCCUUUUCUGCCUUAGUCUAUCACAUUUUUCACUUCUUGCUUCUUAAUCUCUUCCUUGUUUCCUUUUAUGCUUUGCAACAAACAUGAGGCGGCACAGGAGUUCACAUAAUCUUUGUUUUCUCUGUAACUCCAGAUAUCUGAAGACUUUCAGGGGCAACAAAUAUGCUUUGACAAGGAUACUGAAAACAACUCUCUGGUCUCUUCCAAAGCUACAACAUAAUUAAAGUCUUACUUUUAAAGGAAGUGAAGUAUACAGAACAAAAGAGGAGCAAGUAACGUUUUUAUUAAGCAAGAUGAAUAGAGAACACACUGAAAGCUUUUUCAUGUGUUUUAUUCCCUAUACUUUUUCUUUAUCUGUUGGCAGUGGAGAAACAAUGGAGAAACUGCCAUUUUCUUCCUCUUCCUUCCCCUAGGACUGCAGUACCCUCCAACUGUGUUUGGCAACAUCACCUGAUCAGGACAUGUGCUUUCAGACUAGAGUUAUUAAACACCAUAAGUUAAUCAAAUGACAGACUUCACCAAGGACAUAAAGCAGUGUUUGUCCCACAAACAAUACUGUGCCCCAAGGCUUAAAGAACAGUACAACAAAAGCAAAUUACAGCACACAGAAACUUAUGACUGGAGUAAGGAAAUUUAUGAGUGCUUUUAAAGUUUGUUGACAAACACCUGCCCAAUGUAUUAUUUACCACUCUGCCUGGACAGCACUUCAGUAAACUUACAUUAUGUUUUUCUGAACUAAGAAGGAAAACUAUGCUUGUUUUUUCCACAGCAUGUUGAAAAAAAAAAAAAAAAAAAAAAAAAAAAA